UUGGUCUGCGAUUAAAAGGCUGUUUCCGGUGGUUACUCACAAUGGAUCAGAUGUAGGACUUCCGGUGAAUACUGCUUCUAUUUCUGGUUUCCUGAGGGUGGGUUAGACCUACAUCUGCCCUGGAUGCCUGACCUCCCUGAACCCUGAGCGGACCACGUCUCUGCCUCUUUCAUGUGACUGCUUACAGUAUGUAUUAUUCAGCCUGGCAAAAGACCUUGGGUCCUUCUGUGUCCAAAGGCUGGCUGGGGUAAUCCAGGUUGGACCAGGAGCUUCUCUGGACAGGAGACUUGGCACAUGACUCAUGGUGCCCGUGUUGAACGUGCAGCCAGCACAGCUCCACUGCAAAUCUGUUCCCUUUACAUGGAAUGUUUAUUGGACACUUGUCAGCUAACUUACACUGCUCAGAGCCUGUUGAUAUAUCAGUGGUUAAAAUGGAUGAAUCCCCUGUGACUGCAGUAAGCCCGUGAGCCUUUAUCUGAGUCUCAAAACGUAGGUGGUUAUGCAGCAUCAUCUUUUCCUCUUCUUCUGGCAUUUCUAAGAAAACCUGGCUGUUCAAGGGGCCACGCUCAAUGCGCGGGAGGAACGUUCCCAUGAGGACAACCCAAGGACAUGUGAAGACUCCUCUGCAUCUCCCCCACUGGUCACAGCUUCAUCCUUCUUCUCAGUCCAGCCUGCUCCUUGGCAUGCUUCCUGGGUUGACUUCUGUCGAAGUUGGAUGACUGUUGGGGUAUUGGAUUCUGAUAGCCCUGGAUGCAGCCCAGCGCCUGCACUGCUGUCCAUGUUUGAUCUCCAGCUCAAUUUUCUGGAAGAAGUUGGCUGAACUAAGGAUCAAAGAUUCUGUUGCUUGCUUCCUAUUCUCCCCCAUGACAGCCGCUGUGCUAGGAGUUUAGCACAGCAACAGAUUAACUCCUCAACCGAUCAUCUGAUCAGAGUUUCUCACACUCUUGCGGAAAGUGAACAUGACUGGACACAAGGUUCAUAGGAUUUUUACUUCAUCUUCAGUGGACCUACAGGUAAAAACAAAGCUGCUUCUGUUCACACCCACAGACCUCCUGCGGGAACUGUAUAUUCCUGCCAUUUCCAAGUGAUUUUGCUUGUUACAUAAAAUUCUAGUAGGGAGUUUCCCACAAACACAAAGAGCUUGGAACUUUAAAUGCAAAAAACAUUCGAACUUCUUAACUUCCGAAGCGAUGAGACUAGAAACAAGAAUCUUCAGCAGUUAUGAGCUCUUCAGAACACAGGUGUAUUACCCUACAAGAACAUGUAGAUGAUGAGAUCCUUAUUGUCUGAUAAUAAGAUUUAAUUAGUAUUAUGCUAAUGAAAUGUGCUGCCUCUCCCCACCUCUCCCCACCUCUCCUCUCCAGUUUCCUAAGGGAGGCCAUCAUGCAGGAAAGACUCAAUUGUCAUCUUCCUAAUAUGUAUCCGCCACCACCAGCAUGUCUUUUGAGCCAGCAUUUUAUUUAACCUUGAGCUUUUUGGUCCUUAACAUGUUUACAGCUCACCUGUGAUUCUUGUUAAAAUGUUAUCUGCUGAUUCAGUAGGUUUAGGAUGGGGCCUCGGAUUCUGUAUUUCUGACCAGGAAUGUGGUGCUAAGGCUACUGGCCUUGAGAAUGCACUUGAAGUAGAGAGAAGCUCUGGAGGACCCAAAGAAUUUUCUUUUGUAUACCAGGAGAAUUUCCGAUAGAUUUUUAGCAUCCGUGUAAAUGGAAGAAUUGCUCUAUAAUGGAUCAAAAUGAAACUCUGCUGGUUGAAUGAGGACACAGAGCAGGAACCCUUGGUAGAGCCAAAUACACCCUUCUCCGUUGCUUCCUCACUCUAGACUUACUCCAUGAGGAGGACAACCACGGGCCAUCAUCAUGGUACCAUUGCAAAUAGAGACCACGCAGCUUGAAACCCAGGGUAUGCCUCUCAUAUUCUGUGAAGGAG